ensembl:lncRNA
ACAACACACCGCCACAUUUUCUUUCCUUGAAGUGAGAGAUAGUUGUCUGUUUCAGUGAGCAUGCGUGUGUGUGUGUUUGUGUGUGUGUGUGAUGGAUGAGCCCAUGCAAAUGUUAUAUCAAAAAGCAUGGGUCAUAAUCAAAUAAAUGAUGUAUUUGUUAUCAUGUUUGAAAUUAAAGAGUUUAUUCGGUAUCAUUGGCCAAUUUGAAAUGUAUGCAAGUAAUGAAGCCAAGACAAGUGCAUUUCAACUUAAUUUCGAUUAUUCAUCCCCAUUCCGGGAAGUCGACUUGGUACAUUCCACUUUGUUCACUACCUCGCCUGGCUCGCGCCACUUCCAACAACGGCUGUAUUUCAAUUUUGGGAAAUCACAAGCAAAGCUCUCCUGCUGGAAGAAAUUCAUCUGAUCUAAUCAAUCAUCAUUCAUCUUUCCAAUUCAAUUUUCGUCAUGGAGGAUCUCGAUGAUGUGGCUAUUAACACACUGAGAGCAGCUAAUAUCAGCGAAGACCAGCUGCAUUCUAUUUCUAGAGAUGACAUUAGGGACCUCUUCCCUGGCCCAGAACACUUUUUCCGUCGAAAAGCUAUAUGGCUCAAAAUACACGUGGAAGAUAGGGGGGAAGAGGGUCCCACUGCAAUGGCAGGGCCAUCAACGGCUCAAUGUGAUGCAACUUCUCCUGGCAAGUUUCUGAAAUUCUCCAGUAUAGAAUAUGUCAUCUUUACUGACAGUGAGCUGGAGCAGGCGAGACGUUUAUAUUUUGAAAAACAAAGACUUGGGAAAGAGCUAGAGGUCACUUUAUCCAAAGAGCUUUUCUGCCGCCUGAUUCGUAACACAAUGACCAAUAUGAUCGCCAUAGCCAGAGCAUCUGAGGAGUUCCGCUAUCCAUCAAAACACGAAGUCAUCUCCAUGGCUAAGCGCUUAGUUGAGUACUACCCGAUGAUUAAGGACAAGUCAUCUGACAAUGUGUGGGAGAAUGUGUCAAGGAAGCUCAUGAAGAGGCUCUCUAACGUGAAAAGUCCUGUGAAAUCCAAGGGUCCACCUGUUAAAGUACAACGUCGAAAUGAAGAUGCUGAUGACAGUAGUGAUUGGGACUCCAGUGCAUCAACUGUCAUCUUGGAAAGAUCACCAGCCAGUACAAGCACCCCAAAACGACUGAGGGACAACAAUGAUGAACCAUCCACAGGUUCAGGAGACUUAUUGGACAGUGAAAAAAGCCAGGCAAGACACUAUCGUACCCUCCAGGAUAUGUACAAGUCUAAGAAGCCGAACAAAGCUGCGGUUUCUCAUCUUCUUGAUUUGGAAUUCCAGUCCCGUAGACAAUUCAUUGUCUCUGACACUCUCAAAGAACAAGACAGACCGGGGAAGAUUUUAGAUGCGUACCCCUGCUUCCGAGAACUUGACCACAUCAUGGACGAGCUACGGAGGAUAAUAAACCCUGACAAUCCAGACUACAUUGCCAACAUUAAGGACAGAUGGGAAACUUUUUAUGGGAAAGUGCAGUUUUAUGGCGUAAUGAGAAAAGUCAUGAAGCCUCCAAAGACCUUGGAUGGAGUGGAACAUGCUACUGCAGUGUUCUCUGCUCUUCCACAACUUUUUCAAUCACCUGCCAUGGCGCCCAAAAAGACACGCACCCCAAGCGAAGUCUUUUUUCACAUUUUAACGUCCUGUGAGAGCCCAGACUCUUUUCUCCUAACUCGAUCCCACCCAAUCCGCCUGUUGGGGCAAGAAAUCUGCCUCCUCUCAAUUGGGCCCACCACACUGUGCUCCUUUCCAAAGAUAAAAUUCCACGAGGCCAUCCUCUACCUGAUGGGCUGCUAUUACGUGUUUCAUUUAACAUAUCCGAAAUGCAUUGCCACACUGCUAUCUGUCAUUCAGACAGAAGUUCUCGGGGAUGGGCUGCAUGAGAGGGACAUCACCCCAUCCUACAAGAGAGCAAUCGCCGACUGGAAGGCAUUCAUAGACUGAGGGCGGGGAUUCGUUGAACACACACAGACAAACAACCACACACACACACACACACACACACACACACACACACACACACCUAGAGUUUCCUAUGCUACUUCAUCAUUUACAUCAUCAUCAUUAUUUUGAUGUUUAGAUGGG